UUUUUUUGAUUUUUCGGCUUUUGGCCAUUCUUUUGAACUUUCACAAAAUUUGCCCCAGUUUAUUUUGAACUGAGGUUCUCUUUUCUUCUUUUGUUUUUGAUUUUGUUGCUUUUCACUUUUCCGCUUCUUGAAAUUUUCCUUUUUCAAACCAACUUGCCCCAGUGUGGGGUUUGCGAUUCUCAGGGGUUGCCAAACGAAAUAAUUUAUUCUGAAGGCUCAAAAGGGAUAACUAGGGAUAGAAUGUUCGAUUGGAAAAGAAAAUGGCCUGACUUGUAUUCCGUUCCUUACAUUGACUCUGAAAGGAAACAUUCAUUAAUGGGAAAAUUUUUAGCAUGUAUCUGAAUUAACUGAUUGAGGAAGACCCUUGUUCAUCCAUAUUUGCGAAACAUAGGCGGUCCGCGCGGACAAAACUCUUCCUUUUCUUUCUUCUUCUUUUUUUCAAAACUGGACCCCAAGUGGAAUCAAAUUUCCCCAAUUUGCGGUUCCCGCCUUACUCUAGCAUUUUUACUUCUCUCUUUUUUUCAAAAUUCCCCAAUCUCCUUCCCCAAUGUGGGGUGCGAUCAUAUGUGCACUCGAAAAGAACCACCAAUUUUUUAGCUCAAAUGAGGAUGCAAGGGAUGAUCAGUGUUUAGAUUGUAGAAAUGACGGCCAAAGUAUCACUCUUAUACCUCAUGACAACCGAAGUAGCGAAAUGGUCAUUGAAAAUCCAUUCUUCUUUUGAUAUUUGAAAAUUUUUCAAUGAAGGGUAGUGAUCAUUAAGACCCUUAUUUGAAACGAAAUUAUUCUUUUAGAAGCUCAAAUGGGAGAGCAAAUGAUAAAAAUCUGUAUAGGUAAUGAAACAAAUGCUUGAAGUAUCAUUCCAAAUUUCCCAAACAAAUAAGAACAAUGCACAUUUUUGCUUUCACUUAGAUGUGAUUGAACCAGAUUGGACACCUUGAACAUUUUCAAGCAAAAGUUGCCCCAAUUUACAAUUUAUCAAUCAAUGUGACUGAUUUUAUUUUGGAAUUAAGUGAAGGAGAAAGGUAUCUCAUAGGGCCUUUUGAGUGACCGUUCACUCUCUUUCUUUCUGAGCACUCUUAUUGUAUAACUCGGAUCACCAAUCGAGUGUAAGGAUCUUAGGAAGCAUUCACUUGUGAAUUUCCAGGCUGGAGGUUAAAAAAAUCUCAAUUUGAUUUUAUUUCUCAAAAUUCAUCGUGAAAUCUCCAAUGAGUAAGAAUAAAGAAUGAAAUGUAUAUAAAUAUACACAAGACAAUGAUUGUCCCAAAAAUUUUAUUGCUGAAAAAGUUUGAAACAAAAAUUCUCAUUCAAUUAUGAUACAAAUGAGAAGAGAGAAACUUGUAAAGAGCUCCACAUAUACACUUUUUAUCUCCCUUUCUCUUGACACAAAAAUAUACUAACAAGUCAAAUAUAUAGAAUUUUCUUUGAAAACAAUUUUUGAAAUCUCUUAGAAGCUCUUAGCCUAGAGCUUUCAGAUGGGUCUUUCAGGUUUCCAUUGUUGGAUCUGCCCAAGAAUCAAAUAAUACUUGUGAUUUUCAAACUUUAUUGGAUUAAAAUUAUCAUCAGAUAUAGAAAAAUAUUUUUGCCUUAUUGAAAUAUUCUUAUGAAUGCAGGGGGGAAGGGGGAAAACAAAAGAAAAAUACCCAGAGUUAGUAAGAAAGAAUAUAAAAUCGGUAUGCAUGUCCUAUGGGGGGACCCUUUUUGUGCCAAGGGUAGGCCUAGCAUGAAAAUGCAAUCCUCCAGAGCAGGCACUAUACAAUACCUGAUGGGUCCGAUCAGCUUAUGGAGUGAAAAAUAAUUUGAAAAAUUUGGCCCAUUGGAAUGAGAAGAGACGUUGGUCAAAAUGAGGACCUCGUCCGAAGGGAUUGAUCACUUUUGAUCGAUACAAGAAUUGGCAAAAACGCACAGGUUCGACCUUGUCGAACUUCCUAACGAAGAGAUUGGAAUUUGUUGACAAAUUUUCUCAGUGAAUUACGGGUCAAAACCCCAACUGAUCAAAUGGCUGGAUGCAAUGGAUGAUUUUCUCAAAAAUCGACUAAGUUUUGAAAUCCGACAUUAAAACCCUAAUUGGUCAAAUGAAAUUGACAAAUUAAAAAUCGACCGGAUUACCCUAAAAAAGGAAACGGGUCAAAUGAAUUGAGUGAAAUUUAAAACUUACUCAAAAUUGACCGAAUCAUCCUAAAAAAGGAACUUGGUCAAAUGAAUUGAAUGAAAUUGAGAAUUUAUUCAAAAUUGACCAGAUCGCCCUAAAAGGGUAAAUUGGUCAAAUGAAUCGACGAUUUAUUCAAAAUCGACCGGAUGACCCUAAAAAGGGUAAAUUGGUCAAAUGACCCUAAAAAGGGUAAAUUGGUCAAAUGAAUUGACGAUUUAUUCAAAAUCGACCAGGUGACCCUAAAAAGGGUAAACUGGUCAAAAUGAAUUGACGAUUUAUUGAAAUGAAUCGGCAAAAUGGAUUGGUUGAAUUGUCCGGCCAUUGGUUAUUUCAAGAUCAUUGAGGUGCAUUAGUUUAUGACCUUCUAAAAAUCAAAUUUUGGCCUUAAUUUAUUUAUCGUCUCAAAAGGAGGAAUCAUUUGUGAAUUUUUUCAAAUUAAUGUCCUUCACGCAAGGGAUUUUUACCAAUUUUUGAUAAAACGGCCAAAAAGUGAUUAUUAGAUGCUCAUAUUCCAAAGAUCACUCUAUGAAAAUAAUCGGAUCCUACCUCACCUUGUGCACUACCCCUUUGGAUGGUACAAAAUGUAAACGUGCAAGUCUCGUUGGAUUAAGUAUCCGAGACACAAGGUGGCUUAUUCCUAACACGGGAUCCCCUAAAUGGCAUUCCCUUUCUAAGGUUUAAUGCAUGAUGCCAGUUUAUUAAAGCGAUGUAAAUAUGUGACAAAUAUGGCCUAAAGGACAUGAAUAAUGCAUCGGGGGGAAAAGGUCUAAAAAUGAAAUGUACUUAUUGAAAAUCAAGUGUAAUGACUGAAACUUAAACAUGUGAGUUAUCUAAUGGGUAGGUCACUAAAAGAAUGCCGAAGAGGCCUCUUAUUGCUAAGGCAUAUGAAUGCAAGACAAGAAAACAAUGAAAUGAUUAGCACAAUUGAUAGUACACAUAACACAUUGGGAGCAAAUAAGAAAGGAAAUACAAUAAAACAAGUAAAAGGGGUGGAACCCCUUCCCUGUGCCUAAUGUGCUUAAAAGAGGGUAAGGCUGACUCUAACCUAGGAAAAUUCUAACAUGGAUGCAUGAGGCUGGGGUUCACUAAUGCAACUGGACUCGAUAAGGCUUCGGCUCCCAAGCCUUCAGACCUAAAGGCGAAGGGUCAUCACUCCCAGGGCCCUUGGUCGGUGGCUUGAGUGAUCCCUCAGGUAGCGCUAUGGGCGCAGUGCACACCAGCCGCCUACCCAAGGCAAUCGAUCCUAAUCCUACAAGGCGGUGUGGGAUAGCGCCCACGAAAAAUAAAAUAAAAUGGGAUAACAAUAAGUAAACGUGCACGUAUGAAGUGCUCCCUAUUUUGAGGGAAGGGGUUGAGAACCACGCGAGGCUCUAAAGGUGACACCCCCCCCCAAAUGCAAUGCAAGCGCGAGAUAAACAUACAUCCAAUCAAUCAUACAUACGUGAGUGAGGGGGUAGUUGAAUGCGUACGUGAGACGAAAGGUCCUAAAAAUGGAAGAUGCAACCCUAAUAUCCAAAUGCAAUGCAUAAUAAGGGUAGAAAAAGGAAACGAAUGGUUAAGUCAAAAUGCUUGGACCCACUUAGGAAGUCCCCAGUGGAGUCGCCAACUGUCGCGUCCCAUUUUUUGGAAAAAUAAAAUGAUUGUUUUUGUGAUUUUAUUGGUUUGGAAAAAGUGAAUUUUUUUGAUAAAAAUAAAAAUGGGUCUAAAUGGGACUUUUGAAAAUGCGACGAUUUGACCCAAGAAAAAUAGUUCAAAAAGGAUUUUUUAUAUGAAAAAUGGAGUCGCCACUUGGUAUAGAGUUAGGGUGUACCAAGUCACCCAAAAAGUGAAUUUUUUAAGGAAAAAAAGUAAGAAACCCUUUUGAACGACUCCUAGUCCACGCAAACAAAGAAAAAGGUUCGGGAGUCACAUUUGACGAAGGGGAAGGCAAGGAUAAAAAUCCAAGGCACCCCUUCGACCUAGCCAAGGCUAGUUGCGUGAUUUAACCCUUAUUUUCCUAAUUUUUUCUACCCAAAGUAUGUAUUUGCAAUUUGGACAAAGACUAAUGAAUGGGAAAUGCAAUCCUAAAUUCUACGAUGUCUCUCGUGAGGUUUUUGGUCCCAAACCACAUGAAUUGUGGCGGCCAAUAAAGGGAAACCUCAUAGAGGUCGAUUGAUGCAAAUGGUGACUCAAGUGCAAGUGUGCAAGUGUAUGAAAAGAUUCAUGUAUGAAAUGGUGUAAAAAACAAAGUGUUUGUGUGCGAAUGUGUAAAGAAAGUGCAUGUGUGAAUUUGUAUGAAAAUCAAAGUGUUUGUGUGUGCAAAUGAAUGAAGAUAGAGUAGUACAUAUAUAAGUGAAACUUGAAUUUCAUUUGUGAAGUAAAGUAAAUAAAUGAUAAAGAUGUAGUGAAAAAUAUGGAUUGCGAAAUAUAAGAAAAAUGUGAUUAAAAGAGUAUGGAAGUGAUGAAAGUAUGACCCUAGGGGAAUGCAACAAGUCGGGUACGGGGGUUGACUUCUAACUUUUCGACUUCGAUUUUCCCUUGGAUUAGAAGGCGAAACUAGCGUGCUAAGGCUAUCGAGUAGCCACACUCGCUCGUUUCCCUUAUCGGAGGGGGACACUCAAGCAAAAUGAACCCUAUAGCUAGUAUGGGAUGCAAAACCUAAAAUGAGAGGAAAAGGGGUUUGAGGAUCAUGCCAAAUGAUAAAACUAAGGAAAAUGUGUGAUAUGUGGUGAACAAGCAAAUGAUGUACUAUCGAGGGAAAAUCCCUAAGGGUCUAGCGUUGGACUAGCCCAUUCUAUGAAUUCCGACUAGCGUUGGACUAGUGGAAACGAUAAAAGAAGCCACAACUAGCGUUGGACUAGUGUGGUGACGUACAUUCAUCCAUUCCAUUCAUCCACACCAUAAAAAGCGAGUAGACAUGCGAAUCACUUAUAAACACGUAGCACAUAACACUUAGCAUGCUUGACUAGAUGCAAGGGCCUAAUAAAGCGAUUAAACACUUAACACGUAGGCAUGCAACCAUUACAUUUGCUAACUAAAACAAAGGGGAAAGGGGAAAUGGACCAAAUUACUUGCUACGCCCUAUCUAUUACAAGCCAAGAGGUGUACACAUACCCCAUUAAAAGAAUAACUUAAUAAAGCAAAAGUAAAUGAAAGGAAUGAAAGGAAUUAAAGAAAUGUAAAGAAAGCAAAGUAGACAUGCAAUUCACGUAACACGUAGGAGCACGUAGAAUCAAAUGAAGUGCAAAUAAAAGGGUAGAGUGUACCUUCCUUGAAAUUGGGCCCCAAUGAAGUGAACUUACUAAUUUACCCUCCAAAAUAAUAAAAAGGUCAAGGCACCAAUUUAUUUGGCAAAUAAUCACAAAGGAUAAAAAUAAGCAUGAAUUGAAUCAAUUGAAUCAUGUCAAAACCCACAUUUAAGAAGUCAAAAGAAGAAGGGACUUAAUUGCAAAAACGAACAAAGUUUUGGGGUCAAAAUUAAAGAAAAAUAAAGUUCAGGGACUUAAUUACAAUUAAUUUAAGGACCGAAUUGAAAGAAGUUGAGAAUGUCCAGGGCCACAAUACAUCUAAGGAGAAAUUCAGGGGCUGAUUUGCAAAUUUGCUUUCUGGUUUCUUAGUGGAUCAAGCCACUGGGCUAUUGCCUUUAUUUGUUUGGGCCAAAGUUUCCCAGCCCAAUGGAAAUUCAAAGCAAGAAGGGAAUGGACCAUUUUAUUUGUUCGUUUGGGCCAACCCUUCCUAGCCCAACCAAAAAACCCAAGCAAAAACAGAUGGGCUAGCUUAACUAUUUUGGCCCAAAAUUAGCCAACCACACAGAUGGGUCAUGACCCUAUGGCCCAAACCAAAAAAUUCAAAUAAACAAACUAAAACUCAUCAGCCAAAAACCCACCAAGCAAACCUUUAGCCCAAUAGGAUAACAAAUCCACUAAAACAAAUUAAGGUUUAAUUAUACCCGCAACCACAGAAAUAAUAAGUUUAGAAAUGCACCUAAAAUAUCAAGAGGAGAUGAGCAUCCAAUAGGGAUGUGAAUCGUUCAAUUACAAAUGUUUCUGGGCCGUAAUGCAAUUGGACAAAAGUUGGGGCUAAAAUAAAAAAAUUCAGAAAGUAUCAUGCAUCCUGCUCGAAGUUCUCUUGCAAUUUUUUCAUUUCUUUCUUCGGUAACUCACCCCAGGAACCACACGAAACAGAUGCGGAGCAAACAAAACUUUUUAACAAACUCAAACCCCCUUUGAUCAAUGCAACCCAGUCAUUCAUAUUAAGCCGUUGCAGAUUAAAAGAAUAUCAGUGGCCAUUUAGCCUUCCUUCGCAGAAUAAAAACAUCAAAGCAAAAACGCAAGUUAAUCAUCACUCAAGCAGAAUUUUAGCUGGGCAUUUCAUCAAACAUCUAAUGGGCAUUAAGCAUAUCAUCGAUUCUUAGCUCAAUUGGGGUGAUAAUCAACCCCAAAAUUGUCAGCAACCCAAGGAAAUUUAGUCCGGACAGUAUACAAGCUCACGUGUUCAGAAGUUUAGGCAAAUUAACAGGGGAUUCGCACCAAAAUAACACCAUGGCAAACUCAUUUCAGAAGUUUGAGAGAAACUGAAAUUUGAAGAAAAUAACUUACAGGGCUAUAAAUUCUGAAGUCGAAUUGAAUCUGGGGGGGUGGCGCUGACGGUAGACGGCUCUGUGGAGAUGGCAGUAGAAGCCCCUGCUGCUUUGAUGGCUACGGUGGCAGCAACGGCAGUGGGAGUUGAAAGGCGGCAGCAGAGGUGGAGAGUAGCAUACAGCAACAACGACGAGUGCGGCCUGGAGGUGGCUUGGGCAAGCGGUUGGCUGCUUGUUGGUCGCGCUGGAGAAGAAAGGUGGCGCACGAGGUGGAGGUGCCGUGGCGGAGCUCGGAUUGCGGCGGACCUCCUGGUCUUUGUUUCCUCACUUUGCGUUUAGUUCCUUUGCCUCUGCCCGAAAUUCCUCCUCCAAAUUCCAGAUUUCGGCUGCCAGUUUCUUUUUUUUUUAGUUCCGUUUCUUGCUCUUCCUAAAUUCCUCUCAGCUAUCUUCUCCGUUUUCUGUUCCCUUUACUCUCCGCAGCCCCCUUCUCUGUUCUUUAGCCUUUCCUUAGCCGAAUCCUCCCCUGUUUUCUUUCUUUUGCUUUGUUUUUCUUUCAGCCUUUUUCCUUUUGCUAGCAGCCCCUUCUCUGUUUUUCUGGUUUUUUCUUCCCUUAGCUCCGCCCAAAACCUUCCCCUGUUUUUCCUUUUCAUUCCCUCGCUUGCCCCCCAGCCGAGAGCUUCCUUCGAUUUUUUUUAGCCUUUUGUACCUUUUCUCCUCUCUUAGACCUCCAGGUGUCUCAAACACCUACCCCUCCCUAAACACUUGUCCUACCAUUCCUUAACCACUUGUCUAAUGCUUAUUUGCACACUU
rnacentral:lncRNA from 1 species